rnacentral:rRNA from 1 species
GACGAACGCUGGCGGCGUGCUUAACACAUGCAAGUCGAACGAGGCUCCUUCUUCGGUUGGGGUUCUAGUGGCGAACGGGUGAGUAACACGUGGGCAACCUGCCCCUGGCUCUGGGAUAACUCCAAGAAAUUGGGGCUAAUACCGGAUAUGACCGCUGAUCGCAUGGUCUGGUGGUGGAAAGAUUUAUCGGCUGGGGGAUGGGCCCGCGGCCUAUCAGCUUGUUGGUGGGGUAGUGGCCUACCAAGGCGACGACGGGUAGCCGGCCUGAGAGGGUGACCGGCCACACUGGGACUGAGACACGGCCCAGACUCCUACGGGAGGCAGCAGUGGGGAAUAUUGCGCAAUGGGCGAAAGCCUGACGCAGCGACGCCGCGUGGGGAUGACGGCCU